ACUGCCAGAAGAGAGACAGGAUCUAGGGGAAGGAUGAAUCUGGAUCUCCUGUUUUCUCUCCCAG
ensembl:miRNA